rnacentral:piRNA from 1 species
UCUUUGUACAAUGGUUGCACGUUACUU